GGAAACAAGCAAGCAAAAAAAGGAAGAAGGAAAGACAAAAGGAAGGAGCAGAAAGACAGUUGGCCCUCGUGCUUUUGCAGGCCUCAAUACAGGUCUGCCAUCUCCUUUCCUCCCCCAACCGAGAGAUGUUUCUUUGUUUUUGUUUUUCAAUCUCUCUGUCUGUAUCUGUAUGCAUGGACACUGAUUGAGGUAGAAGUAAAGGCAGGGAGUGGGCAAGUGCCUUUUCACGAAUGAAUGAAUGAAUGAAUGAA
rnacentral:ribozyme from 1 species